rnacentral:rRNA from 1 species
AUUGAACGCUAGCGGGAUGCUUUACACAUGCAAGUCGAGCGGCAGCGCGGACUUCGGUCUGGCGGCGAGUGGCGAACGGGUGAGUAAUGUAUCGGAACGUGCCCAGUAGCGGGGGAUAACUACGCGAAAGCGUAGCUAAUACCGCAUACGCCCUACGGGGGAAAGCAGGGGAUCGUAAGACCUUGCACUAUUGGAGCGGCCGAUAUCGGAUUAGCUAGUUGGUGAGGUAACGGCUCACCAAGGCGACGAUCCGUAGCUGGUUUGAGAGGACGACCAGCCACACUGGGACUGAGACACGGCCCAGACUCCUACGGGAGGCAGCAGUGGGGAAUUUUGGACAAUGGGGGCAACCCUGAUCCAGCCAUCCCGCGUGUGCGAUGAAGGCCUUCGGGUUGUAAAGCACUUUUGGCAGGAAAGAAACGUCGCGGGCUAAUACCCCGUGGAACUGACGGUACCUGCAGAAUAAGCACCGGCUAACUACGUG